rnacentral:rRNA from 1 species
CCUACGGGGGGCUGCAGUGGGGAAUAUUGGACAAUGGGCGCAAGCCUGAUCCAGCAAUGCCGCGUGGGUGAAGAAGGUCUUCGGAUUGUAAAGCCCUUUCGACAGGGACGAUGAUGACGGUACCUGUAGAAGAAGCCCCGGCUAACUUCGUGCCAGCAGCCGCGGUAAUACGAAGGGGGCUAGCGUUACUCGGAAUGACUGGGCGUAAAGGGCGCGUAGGCUGUUUGGUAAGUUGGGCGUGAAAUUCCUGGGCUUAACCUGGGGGCUGCGUCCAA